rnacentral:rRNA from 1 species
AUUGAACGCUGGCGGCAGGCCUAACACAUGCAAGUCGGACGGUAGCACAGAGGAGCUUGCUCCUCGGGUGACGAGCGGCGGACGGGUGAGUAAUGUCUGGGAAACUGCCUGAUGGAGGGGGAUAACUACUGGAAACGGUAGCUAAUACCGCAUAACGUCGCAAGACCAAAGAGGGGGACCUUCGGGCCUCUUGCCAUCAGAUGUGCCCAGAUGGGAUUAGCUAGUAGGGGGGGUAAUGGCUCACCUAGGCGACGAUCGCUAGCUGGUCUGAGAGGAUGACCAGCCACACUGGAACUGAGACACGGUCCAGACUCCUACGGGAGGCAGCAGUGGGGAAUAUUGCACAAUGGGCGCAAGCCUGAUGCAGCCAUGCCGCGUGUAUGAAGAAGGCCUUCGGGUUGUAAAGUACUUUCAGCGGGGAGGAAGGUGUUGAGGUUAAUAACCUCAGCAAUUGACGUUACCCGCAGAAGAAGCACCGGCUAACUCCGUGCCAGCCGCCGCGGUAACAC